GACGAACCGAGCGAACGUUGUUCGGACUCACUGGGCUUAAAGGGCGCGUAGGCGGGCUUGCAAGUCUGUGGUGAAAUCCUCCAGCCCAGCUGGAGAACUGCCGUGGAUACUGCGAGUCUCGAGGGAGGUAGGGGCGUGCGGAACAGAUGGUGGAGCGGUGAAAUGCGUUGAUAUCAUCUGGAAGUCCGGUGGCGAAGGCGGCACGCUGGACCUCAUCUGACGCUGAGGCGCGAAAGCUAGGGGAGCAAACGGG
rnacentral:rRNA from 1 species